rnacentral:lncRNA from 1 species
AAAAUAAAUACCCAGUCCUAUAAAAUUUCUUUGCAUAAUCACCUACACUGCAUACCAAAUGCCACAUAAAAAUUAGAGCAUCAGCACUCUCUUCUUUCCAGAACUUUAGCUUGUCCUGACUUAUUCCUGUAACAUUCAUUGUCUUACUCUUGAUAUUCCCAGAGCUUUUCAUCCUCCUAUUUUCAUCCUCACCUCACUUUUCAGAAUUGACCAUCCACAUCAACUUCCCAGGUUCAUGGGAAUGUGCCCUCUUAAACACUGCUUUGAUUUUGAUUCUACCUUUAGCAAUGCUUUCCUUGUCAUCUUGGUUAAAAAAGUCUUCCACUUCAACAGAGUCCCAGCAGUCUCUCUUUUAAGACUGGCUUCAUGAAGGGUAGUCUUUUUCUAUUUGAUUCUGCCUCUGAAACUGGCAAAACUUACAGGAAGGAAGAGAGGAAAGAAAGAACAGAAGGGAAGUAAAGAUCACAUACAAAUGUAUCAAAUAAGUGUUUUCUGAGCUAAAAUUUCUUAGGAGUUACCAAGCAGCAAAAGAAAGAGAGAGAGAGAGAGAGGAGAAGAAAAGGAAGAAAAAGAAAAAAAAGAAGAGAAGAAGAGGAAGAAGAAGAAGGAGAAGAAGAAGAAGAAGGAGGAGGAUAUUAGCCCUUUGUCAGAUGAUAUCCAAUUGAGAACACCACAUACACCUAGUCAUCAUGUCUCUUCAGUCAGAGGACACAGCAUUUAAUGUUGAAUGCUAAAAAAGAAUUUCUGAGUCUUUCCAAGAGGAAACAAUGUUGGAAGAACCCCAGGAGUCUGUCUUCCCAAUUGCCCUGUUUUCUACUUCUCCUAAGGAUGAGAU